rnacentral:rRNA from 1 species
GAUGAACGCUGGCGGCGUGCCUAAUACAUGCAAGUCGAGCGAACGGACGAGAAGCUUGCUUCUCUGAUGUUAGCGGCGGACGGGUGAGUAACACGUGGAUAACCUACCUAUAAGACUGGGAUAACUUCGGGAAACCGGAGCUAAUACCGGAUGAUAUUUUGAACCGCAUGGUUCAAAAGUGAAAGACGGUCUUGCUGUCACUUAUAGAUGGAUCCGCGCUGCAUUAGCUAGUUGGUAAGGUAACGGCUUACCAAGGCAACGAUGCAUAGCCGACCUGAGAGGGUGAUCGGCCACACUGGAACUGAGACACGGUCCAGACUCCUACGGGAGGCAGCAGUAGGGGAUCUUCCGCAAUGGGCGAAAGCCUGACGGAGCAACGCCGCGGGAGUGAUGAAGAUCUUCGGAUCGUAAAACUCUGUUAUGAGGGAAGAACAUAUGUGUAAGUAACUGUGCACAUCUUGACGGUACCUAAUCAAAAAGCCACGGCUAACUACGUG